rnacentral:sRNA from 12 species
GCACCGGAUGGGAGUUAUACCGCAGUGACCCAGAACCGGACAUCGAAGGAGAGCGAUGUCAGAUGUCCGGACGGUGC